AACAAACGCUGGCGGCGUGCCUAAUACAUGCAAGUCGAACGGGGAAAGCUUUCGGGUGAGUACUAGUGGCGCACGGGUGAGUAAUGCGUGGAUAAUCUGCCUUGAAGAGGGGGAUAACCAGUCGAAAGAUUGGCUAAUACCGCAUAAGACCACAGGAACUGAGGUUCUAGAGGUCAAAGGUUUUUCGCUUCAAGAUGAGUCCGCGUAAGAUUAGCUAGUUGGUGAGGUAACGGCUCACCAAGGCGACGAUCUUUAACUGGUCUGAGAGGAUGAUCAGUCACACUGGAACUGAGACACGGUCCAGACUCCUACGGGAGGCAGCAGUAGGGAAUAUUGCACAAUGGAGGAAACUCUGAUGCAGCGACGCCGCGUGAGUGAUGAAGGCCUUCGGGUCGUAAAGCUCUGUCGCAGGGGAAUAACACAAUGAAGGUACCCUGUAAGAAAGGAUCGGCUAACUUCGUGCCAGCAGCCGCGGUAAGAC
rnacentral:rRNA from 1 species